rnacentral:rRNA from 1 species
AUUGAACGCUGGCGGCAGGCCUAACACAUGCAAGUCGAGCGAGCGGCGGACGGGUGAGUAAUGUCUGGGAUACUGCCUGUUGGAGGGGGAUAACUACUGGAAACGGUAGCUAAUACCGCAUACCAUCAGAUGUGCCCAGAUGGGAUUAGCUAGUAGGUGGGGUAACGGCUCACCUAGGCGACGAUCCCUAGCUGGUCUGAGAGGAUGACCAGCAACAUUGGAACGGAGACACGGUGCAGAGGACUACGGGAGGCAGCAGGGGGGAAUAUUGCAAAAGGGGGGCAAGCCGGAAGCAGCCAUGCCGCGUGUGGGAAGAAGGACUUGGGGUUGAAAAGCACUUUCAGCGGGGAGGCGUUACCAGAAGAAGAAGCACCGGCUAACUACGUGCCAGCAGCCGCGGUAAUAC